AUUGAACGCUGGCGGCAGGCCUAACACAUGCAAGUCGAGCGGAGCGGCGGACGGGUGAGUAAUGCCUAGGAAUCUGCCUGUUAGAGGGGGAUAACGUCCGAAAACGGGCGCUAAUACCGCAUACUAUCAGAUGAGCCUAGGUCGGAUGAGCUAGUUGGUGGGGUAAAGGCCCAACAAGGGGACGAUCCGUCACUGGUUUGAGAGGAUGAGCAGUCACACUGGAACUGAGACACGGUCCAGACUCCUACGGGAGGCAGCAGUGGGGAAUAUUGGACAAUGGGCGCAAGCCUGAGCCAGCCAUGCCGCGUGUGUGAAGAAGGUCUUCGGAUUGUAAAGCACUUUAAGUUGGGAGGCGUUACCAACAGAAUAAGCACCGGCUAACUUCGUGCCAGCAGCCGCGGUAAUAC
rnacentral:rRNA from 1 species